rnacentral:rRNA from 1 species
UACGGGGGGGGCAAGCGUUGUUCGGAAUUAUUGGGCGUAAAGGGCUCGUAGGCGGUUUGUCGCGUCGGGAGUGAAAACUCACAGCUUAACUGUGGGCGUGCGGGCGAUACGGGCAGACUGGAGUACUGCAGGGGAGACUGGAAUUCCUGGUGUAGCGGUGGAAUGCGCAGAUAUCAGGAGGAACACCGGUGGCGAAGGCGGGUCUCUGGGCCGAUACUGACGCUGAGGAGCGAAAGCGUGGGGAGCAAACAGG